CGUCGCGCUCCCCCGCCCCUCCCAGCUCGCCUCUGCGGCGCGGAGAGAGGGGCAGGACCUCUUUCCCCACUAAGGCGGCAGCAGGGCUCGGGCGGCACUCGCGGGAGUAGUUUGGGGAAGAGGUGAAGAAGGUGCUGGAACUGCGCUGUGACUGUGCCCCGCUGGAGGGGCGGGGAGGAGCCAGCGUGACGGGCCUGGGAUCAGCUGUGUCUGGCUGUUGGGAGUGAGUGUGGGUCUUUCCAAAAACACAGAAAACCUGAAUUCUGCUGGUGAACUACUGAACCUCUUCUAAGACUGGAUGCAUUCAGAAUAAUUAACAAGGAAGACAACAAAUUUGUGAGUGGAUAGAUGCAAGCAGAUUAAGAGUAGUAAGACAACCAUCCCUCCACUGACCAAAUAAAGUGACAUUUAAAAGCAACUCUUCCCACAUUACUCCCACUACAUUCAGCCGUUGCCCUGCCUGUUGAGGAGGACUUGCAAGAGACCGUUUGCUACUUCUGCCAUGGUGUAGGACAACCAGGAGAAGAAAAAAACUUGGUGCUUUUGUUAAUCCUGUUUGCUUCUGCUGCUGCCUUGCAUCUCUCCAGCUCUUUCCUCAGAAGCCAAGAUUAUGCAAGUAGCAAGCAAAACCAACUCUUCAGGUUGCAUAGGUUGCUGAAACAACUGAUUAUUUCGGUCUUAUCCCAAAUAAAGCAGCUGGAGUACAUGGUCUGCCUAGAAGAAAAAUGGCCUUUUUCUUGCAUGAGAGAGGAGCUGAGGAAGCACAAGAGAAGGUAG